AUGCAAGUCGUACGCACUGGCCCAACUGAUUGAUGGUGCUUGCACCUGAUUGACGAUGGAUUACCAGUGAGUGGCGGACGGGUGAGUAACACGUAGGUAACCUGCCCCGGAGCGGGGGAUAACAUUUGGAAACAGAUGCUAAUACCGCAUAACAACAAAAGCCACAUGGCUUUUGUUUGAAAGAUGGCUUUGGCUAUCACUCUGGGAUGGACCUGCGGUGCAUUAGCUAGUUGGUAAGGUAACGGCUUACCAAGGCGAUGAUGCAUAGCCGAGUUGAGAGACUGAUCGGCCACAAUGGAACUGAGACACGGUCCAUACUCCUACGGGAGGCAGCAGUAGGGAAUCUUCCACAAUGGGCGCAAGCCUGAUGGAGCAACACCGCGUGAGUGAAGAAGGGUUUCGGCUCGUAAAGCUCUGUUGUUGGAGAAGAACGUGCGUGAGAGUAACUGUUCAUGCAGUGACGGUAUCCAACCAGAAAGUCACGGCUAACUACGUGCCAGCAGCCGCGGUAAUACGUAGGUGGCAAGCGUUAUCCGGAUUUAUUGGGCGUAAAGCGAGCGCAGGCGGUUGCUUAGGUCUGAUGUGAAAGCCUUCGGCUUAACCGAAGAAGUGCAUCGGAAACCGGGCGACUUGAGUGCAGAAGAGGACAGUGGAACUCCAUGUGUAGCGGUGGAAUGCGUAGAUAUAUGGAAGAACACCAGUGGCGAAGGCGGCUGUCUGGUCUGCAACUGACGCUGAGGCUCGAAAGCAUGGGUAGCGAACAGGAUUAGAUACCCUGGUAGUCCAUGCCGUAAACGAUGAGUGCUAGGUGUUGGAGGGUUUCCGCCCUUCAGUGCCGGAGCUAACGCAUUAAGCACUCCGCCUGGGGAGUACGACCGCAAGGUUGAAACUCAAAGGAAUUGACGGGGGCCCGCACAAGCGGUGGAGCAUGUGGUUUAAUUCGAAGCUACGCGAAGAACCUUACCAGGUCUUGACAUCUUGCGCCAACCUUAGAGAUAAGGCGUUCCCUUCGGGGACGCAAUGACAGGUGGUGCAUGGUCGUCGUCAGCUCGUGUCGUGAGAUGUUGGGUUAAGUCCCGCAACGAGCGCAACCCUUGUUACUAGUUGCCAGCAUUAAGUUGGGCACUCUAGUGAGACUGCCGGUGACAAACCGGAGGAAGGUGGGGACGACGUCAGAUCAUCAUGCCCCUUAUGACCUGGGCUACACACGUGCUACAAUGGACGGUACAACGAGUCGCAAGCUCGCGAGAGUAAGCUAAUCUCUUAAAGCCGUUCUCAGUUCGGACUGUAGGCUGCAACUCGCCUACACGAAGUCGGAAUCGCUAGUAAUCGCGGAUCAGCAUGCCGCGGUGAAUACGUUCCCGGGCCUUGUACACACCGCCCGUCACACCAUGGGAGUUUGUAACGCCCAAAGUCGGUGGCCUAACCUUUAUGGAGGGAGCC
rnacentral:rRNA from 1 species